rnacentral:ncRNA from 1 species
AUUCGACCAAUGAUGGAGAAAAGUAGUUAAGGAUUGCACGUUCAGAGAGGAAGAGCCAUGGCUGUAAGCUAUUCCCGUCCGCACCGUAAUGAAGGAACACUCCGGAGGUUUUUCCUUGAACGAAGCAUUCAAGUAGAGGAAAACGCAACCAGGCGUUAAUGGAAAAGUGAAAGCGGCUAGUCCGCUUUAACCAGGGUGGUACCACGGGAAAUAAACUCUCGUCCCUUAU